rnacentral:rRNA from 1 species
AUUGAACGCUGGCGGCAGGCCUAACACAUGCAAGUCGAGCGGAUGAGAGAAGCUUGCUUCUCGAUUCAGCGGCGGACGGGUGAGUAAUGCCUAGGAAUCUGCCUGUUAGUGGGGGAUAACUCGGGGAAACUCGGGCUAAUACCGCAUACGUCCUACGGGAGAAAGUGGGGGAUCUUCGGACCUCACGCUAACAGAUGAGCCUAGGUCGGAUUAGCUAGUAGGUGAGGUAAUGGCUCACCUAGGCGACGAUCCGUAACUGGUCUGAGAGGAUGAUCAGUCACACUGGAACUGAGACACGGUCCAGACUCCUACGGGAGGCAGCAGUGGGGAAUAUUGGACAAUGGGCGAAAGCCUGAUCCAGCCAUGCCGCGUGUGUGAAGAAGGUCUUCGGAUUGUAAAGCACUUUAAGUUGGGAGGAAGGGUAUUCAUCUAAUACGUGGGUACUUCGACGUUACCAACAGAAUAAGCACCGGCUAACUCUGUGCCAGCCGCCGCCGUAACAC